UACGGAGGAUGCGAGCGUUAUCCGGAUUUAUUGGGUUUAAAGGGUGCGUAGGCGGGCUUUUAAGUCAGCGGUAAAAAUUCGGGGCUCAACCCCGUCCGGCCGUUGAAACUGGGGGCCUUGAGUGGGCGAGAAGAAGGCGGAAUGCGUGGUGUAGCGGUGAAAUGCAUAGAUAUCACGCAGAACCCGAUUGCGAAGGCAGCCUUCCGGCGCCCUACUGACGCUGAGGCACGAAAGUGCGGGGAUCGAACAGG
rnacentral:rRNA from 1 species